AGAAGAAAGCGCAAAGUGCUACGCAGAUUUUGUGGAGCAGUGCUGGCUUUUUGCCUGCCUGGGCCUCAGAAUGAAAGGAAGAGGAGAAUAUGGUGUCCAAAUCAAGUCAGAGAUUUCGACUCUGGAUACUCUUGGGUCCAGGUGUCACAGUGAGGAUUGGAUAUACAAAAGCUCUGUUAGAGCUUUACUGAAAUCUUUAGUGCUGGGAGCCUGAUUGAAACCUUUGAUGUAGGAGGUCUAAUUUCAGAAUGACCUCAACUCCAGUGUCAUAAUUCCCAUCUGAUAAACAUGCUGCUACAGGAAGGAACCAGAGACUCUCUUCAAAAUUAGAGAAGCUGAGAGCAUUGUGAUCAGUGAUAACCAUUUUCAGCUGUUAAGAUCCAGAGAAGGGUAAGAGACAAGAAAGCAAAGCAAAUUCUGUUCUUCCUGAAAUGAUGUUAUUGUCAAAACCACCAAGUCACUACAUUUGAGUAUAUCCUGGAGAGAACAAAGUCCUACGUGUGUUUUAACAGUGCUUACUGCUGCUGUCUUCAGAAUAUCUCCUGAUAUCUUCCUCCUUCUCUCCUGUGGUAAAUUCCCUGACUGAAAGGAAAAAAACCACAUUAGUACAAAUGCUAAUAAACUGGCUCUGGUUUGCAGGAA